rnacentral:rRNA from 1 species
CCUACGGGGUGCAGCAGUGAGGAAUAUUGGUCAAUGGACGAGAGUCUGAACCAGCCAAGUAGCGUGAAGGAUGACUGCCCUAUGGGUUGUAAACUUCUUUUAUAAAGGAAUAAAACGAGGCACGUGUGCCUUUUUGCAUGUACUUUAUGAAUAAGCAUCGGCUAACUCCGUGCCAGCAGCCGCGGUAAUACGGAGGAUCCGAGCGUUAUCCGGAUUUAUUGGGUUUAAAGGGAGCGUAGAUGGGUUGUUAAGUCAGUUGUGAAAGUUUGCGGCUCAACCGUAAAAUUGCAAUUGAUACUGGCAGUCGUGAGUACAGUUGAGGUAAGCGGAAUUCGUGGUGUAGCGGUGAAAUGCUUAGAUAUCACGAAGAAGCCCGAUUGCGAAGGCAGCUUACUAGACUGUGACUGACAUUGAUGCUCGAAAGUGUGGGUAUCAAACAGGAUUAGAUACCCGGGUAGUC